rnacentral:rRNA from 1 species
UACGGGGGGAGCAAGCGUUGUUCGGAAUUACUGGGCGUAAAGGGCUCGUAGGCGGCCAACUAAGUCAGACGUGAAAUCCCUCAGCUUAACUGGGGAACUGCGUCUGAUACUGGAUGGCUUGGAUUCGGGAGAGGAAUGCGGAAUUCCAGGUGUAGCGGUGAAAUGCGUAGAUAUCAGGAAGAACACCUAUGGCGAAGGCAGCUCUCUGGGACGGUACUGACGCUGAGACGCGAAAAGCGUGGGGAGCGAACAGG